CAGUAGCCGCGGUAAUACAGAGGUGCCAAGCGUUAGGUGGAAUCACUGGGCUUAAAGCGUGUGUAGGCGGAUGCCUAAGUACCUUGUGAAAUCCCACGGCUUAACCGUGGAACUGCUCGGUAUACUGGGUGUCUUGAGCUGUCUAGGGGCUACCGGAACAAAUGGUGGAGCGGUGAAAUGCGUAGAUAUCAUUUGGAACGCCAAUGGUGAAAACAGGUAGCUGGGGACAUGCUGACGCUGAGACACGAAAGCUAGGGGAGCAAACGGGAUUAGAUACCCGGGUAGUCCCUGUCUCUUAUAC
rnacentral:rRNA from 1 species